AUUGAACGCUGGCGGCAUGCCUUACACAUGCAAGUCGAACGGUAACAGGUCUUCGGAUGCCGACGAGUGGCGAAUGGGUGAGUAAUACAUCGGAACGUGCCUAGUAGUGGGGGAUAACUACUCGAAAGAGUGGCUAAUACCGCAUGAGAUCUACGGAUGAAAGCAGGGGAUCGCAAGACCUUGUGCUACUAGAGCGGCCGAUGGCAGAUUAGGUAGUUGGUGGGAUAAAAGCUUACCAAGCCGACGAUCUGUAGCUGGUCUGAGAGGACGAUCAGCAACACUGGGACUGGGACACGGCCCAGACUCCUACGGGAGGCAGCAGUGGGGAAUUUUGGACAAUGGGCGAAAGCCUGAUCCAGCAAUGCCGCGUGCAGGAUGAAGGCCUUCGGGUUGUAAACUGCUUUUGUACGGAACGAAAAGCCCCGGGUUAAUACCCUGGGGUCAUGACGGUACCGUAAGAAUAAGCACCGGCUAACUACGUGCCAGCCGCCGCGGUAA
rnacentral:rRNA from 1 species